CUCCUCUGCCGGCCACUGAGUUCACCCCGACGAUGAGACCGAGCGUUCAGGUUCGACGCUGCCGAUCCCGGCCACCGCGCCUCACCAACAUCCUGCUGUCCAACUACCAGGAGCACCGCCGCCUCCAGUUCGACUUCGUUGUCCACGACCGCCUCCCAUCUCCAUCAUGACUCCUGCCUAAGUCCCUAUCCACUGAUCCACCUGCCUCCUUGCCAAUUCCUUUGCAUCCCGACCUCCUCGUUGAACCCUAGCACAAGUCCUGCAGCCGCCGCCCUUCUCGUGUCCCCGGCUCCCCGCCCCAGCCACCCUCCCUCAGUCGUCUGAGCGGAUCGCUGAGCGGAGCGCCUCCUCACAUCCGGAUGACCUCCAUCUCGAGGUUCGGCCUCCUCAAAGUUCGGUCCUUCUCCAGCAAAAGCUCCUCCCCGAGCAACCCCAAGUGGACGACCUCCUCCUUCUCGAGAUCCAUCCCCGAUCUUGGCCGGUCUGAUCCUCACUAAGGGAUGCGGCGAUGGAGCUGCGCUCCAAUGAUAGUAUCAGCAACAGAGUGAACAUGCUUCAGUUUGCUGCCCCGCGCACGGACUGAGAUCCUCCUACCCAUUGUCUCCCCAACGCUAGGGCAUUCUACAUCUUUAUGUUCUACAUGUCCAAGUCGUCUAAGAGGAACCAGGAUAUUCUAAAUCGCAGGCAGGAUGGACGCUACAAUGGUAAUCACAAGCAGAAAUUGAUCCCAAAGUGCGACAGGAGGUCUGGCGCGCUCUGGACUUCCCCACCGAAGCCAUCACUGCUGAUGCCUUCAUUGGAGAUGACCAUCUUGAAGCUCCUCCUAGCGAUAGAGUCUAGCAUCCUGGCUGGCGUUGUAGCGCGGCGCCCCCCACACCCGUGGUGUUCGGCGGUGGGACUACGAGGCGCAACUAUAUGAGCUGAGCACAAGCCCUGCCCCAGAGCCAUUCUUCUCCUCUUUCCCAUCUGAAGAGUGAUCUGACUUGAUUAGUACUUCAGCUUCGAAUACAGACACGUCUCAGUUCAGUUGCAGCUAUGUAUGCAUUACUUGCAAGAUCAUAUGUGGAGGUUACUGAAAGAACAAAGAAAUGAUUGUUCUACUUAUUCAGGCCUUGACCUUGGAGAGUCCAAGAUGACCUCGGAUGCCACUGGCAGUCAGACAUCAUUGGCUGUUUGGAACAUUCCACUUUACAAUGCUAAUGGAGAUGCAUCUGAAACGACAUACAUUUUUAUGAGAUCAUUCCUAAGAAUAUAUGGAUGCACAUUCAAAUCAGGAGAAUUUGCUUCAAAAGAUACAAGAGUUUUGUCUUGAAUUGUGUGACUAAUUUACAUGAGCUUCAGGUAGUUUUGUUGGAUAGAUUCUAGGGAAGAAGAAUGGUGAAGCCAGCUUUGUAUCUAUAUGGGUACGAGACGAAUACACAAGUAAUGAAGGUUAGCUUGGACUACAAGUGGGGAAAGAAGGAUUAGUUUUCUUGGAAAAGGCAGCUGACUAAAGGCCCCCGCCCUUCUGAUGUUUUCAUUUUUCUUAGCAAUCCAAAGUCUAAGAUAUGGGAAUACACUGCUGUAUAAAUACCGAAGCUCAGCAGCGAGUGACAUAUUCGUAAGUGGGAUGACUAGGGUUUAGUGACAACGUUGUAGUGUGUAGAAAAGAAAAUUCAGUGACAUUCAAAUGGGCACUUAGAGAAGGAAAUGAAACGAGGGACUAUUCUUAACAAAUUACUAUACUUUAUUUUAGCAAA